GAUGAAGAACGUAGCGAAACGCGAUAUGUAAUGUGAAUUGCAGAAUUCAGUGAAUCAUCGAAUCUUUGAACGCACCUUGCACCCUUUGGCAUUCCGAAGGGUAUGCUCGUUUGAGUGUCAUUGUACUCUCACACUUCCAAUUCUUUGGAUUGGGAGCGGUGGACUUGGGUGCUGCUGCUUACCGUGGCUCACCUCAAAUGUGUUAGUGCAACCGUUGGUUAGACAUAGUACAGCGUGAUAAGUAUCUUCGCUGGCGCCUCACCAGAGGGUGGCUGAUCAGGGCUUUGUGCUUCCAAUCGUCUUCGGACAACCGCUAACAACUUGACCUCAAAUCGAGUAGGACUACCCGCUGAACUUAAGCAUAUCAAUAAGCGGAGGA
rnacentral:misc_RNA from 1 species